rnacentral:misc_RNA from 1 species
UUUCUUAUCGUGUUGAGAUGUUGAAAAAUUCAAACUACCCUUCAUUUCAAAUUCUCAUCUAUACAAACAUAUCUUAAAAUCAAAUUUAUAGAGUAUGACAGCAGUUUAGAGCACUAACAGAAGCAAACACAACUGCAUAUCUGUUUGUGACCACACACGGUGCACGGUAUUCGAAAUUUGUAAAAUGUAAUUCCACAUUUGUAUUUUUCAACAUCUCAACACGAUAAGAAA